rnacentral:rRNA from 1 species
CGCGCAGGCGGCUCGCUUUGCCCGGCGUGAAAGCCCCCGGCUCAACCGGGGAGGGUCGUCGGGGACGGGCGAGCUUGAGGCCGGCAGGGGCAGGUGGAAUUCCCGGUGUAGUGGUGAAAUGCGUAGAGAUCGGGAGGAACACCCGUGGCGAAGGCGGCCUGCUGGGCCGGACCUGACGCUGAGGCGCGAAGGCGUGGGGAGCGAAG